GGGCACAUGGUGUAGUUGGUUAUCACGCUCGCUUAGCAAUGAUUAUCUCAUCAUGCGAGAGGUGUUGGGUUCAAUUCCCAAUGUGUCCA